rnacentral:rRNA from 1 species
AUUGAACGCUGGCGGCAUGCCUUACACAUGCAAGUCGAACGGUAGAGUAGCGAUACUCGAGAGUGGCGAACGGGUGAGUAAUAUAUCGGAACGUGCCCAGUCGUGGGGGAUAACGUAGAGAAAUUUACGCUAAUACCGCAUACGAUCUAAGGAUGAAAGCGGGGGAUUCGCAAGAACCUCGCGCGAUUGGAGCGGCUGAUAUCAGAUUAGGUUGUUGGUGAGGUAAAAGCUCACCAAGCCGACGAUCUGUAGCUGGUUUGAGAGAACGACCAGCCACACUGGGACUGAGACACGGCCCAGACUCCUACGGGAGGCAGCAGUGGGGAAUUUUGGACAAUGGGCGCAAGCCUGAUCCAGCAAUGCCCGCGUGCAGGAUGAAGGCC